rnacentral:misc_RNA from 1 species
CAGAGUUCGUGCCCUCACGGGUAGAUCUCCCACCCUGUGUUAUUAUACCUUUGUUGCUUUGGCGGGCCGCCCUCGGCUACCGGCCCCGGCUGGUACGCGCCCGCCAGAGGACCCAAAACUCUGAAUGUUAAUAUCGUCCGAGUACUAUAUAAUAGUUAA